ensembl:lncRNA
CACCAUACAGAACUGUUAAGGCUUGUUUAGAUUCCAAACAUGUUUUCCUUAAGUAAAUCCAUAUCUAGUAACAAUAGUUAUAUUCUCUGUUUCUUGCUCUGUAGUGAAAGGUGAAGCACUGUUUUCUCUUAGACCUCACAUCAGCUUUACAGGUGCUCAGAGAUGCCAUCAACAGAUAUUAAAGGUGAUACACCACAAAAUAAAAGAGGCUAAGGUGCAGUGCUGCUCAGGGAAUACAAAAACUUUAGCUUUGUGUUGUGGUGCUAAAGGGAUGAACUGUUAAUAUACCAUUAAAGAAUACAGAUGGAAUGUGUGGGGGUCAAUGGCUUUUGAACUGAAAUCCUCCCCAGGUGAGCAUUGGAGGCUGCUCCCCAGGUGACAAUGCUUCUCCUGCACAACUGCCUUCCAUCUCACUGCACCUGCUGCUCUAGAUAAGGCAGAACCUUAGCUCUGUUCUCACCCAUGCUCAAGCUCUGUGUGUUGGAUGGUUUGCAGACUGGUGCAGGACUAUUUCUUCCACUGUUGCCUUUGCUUGCUUGGGUGUCCUUUCCUUUGGUGGCCUGCAGCAGAAGUGAGACUAGAGAGGUGUUUAUUUUUGCCUGAGCUCUGCAGAGAAGAUGCUUUGCUGUGCUAUGCUUUGUUUUGCUGUGCACCACGUUCCCCAGUGUAAAAUGGUCUGCUGCCUUUCCCUGCCUUGUAGCAUCUCUGCGAGACAUGACUGUGAUUACUUUAGCAUGUGUUCUCAUCCUGAAUACCUCACUUAUGGAAGUGAAUAUAGUCCACGCUCUUAUCAGUCUGGGUGAGACUUGGAGAGAGCCCACAAACUGCUCAGAGCCCCUAAAGUCUCAGGGACUCCUUCCUGAUCACAGCUAUCCUCCAAGGGACUGUUUGGUGGAGCAGGUGGUGUCCUUAAAUCAUGGACUUCUUGGAACUUUGAAGAUAUGUGUUCUGUGAGCAGCAGCGAGCUGAGAUGUUGCAGUAUGGUACUUCAAACCUCGAGUCUGGUUGAAGUAAUAGUUAAUAGCUACUGCAGAUUUACUUUACUCUUGAGCCAAGAAGGGAUGAAUGCUGGGAGCCAAAUCUGAAAACUCGUCACAACCACAUGAGAUGGAAAAGCAGUCUCUGCGACAUAUUGAUAGCUGUGGAUGACAGAUAUGAUAUUUAUUGCCAUGGACAGUAAAAUUUAUAUACAUUAAAAAAAUGCAAACUUCGGCAAGCGAUGGGAAGCACUGACAGGAAACGCCUUAGAACAAAUUUCUGCAAGAAAAUGUGGCCGGAGGAAGCUGCUUCAGUGAAAAUGUUUUAUUUGUUCUGAUCCUGGGGGAAAAUGGUAGAGUACAAGAAAAGUCAACUUCUGAAAUAUCAUUUCUCUUUACCCAGUGAAAGUCACCUCGACUCUGGUAAAUAAGGGGGAUGUUCUUCCCUGGAUAGCUUUGUAAUUAGAGAUGUUUGUGUACCAUUAGAGAAGAGAGCUAUUUAAAUGAAAACUUUACUCCGGCUAAAUUAAAUUGGAGUGUCCAGAAACGUUUGGGUUGCCCUUUUCUCUUGAUCAAAU